AAUUGAGAUAUGCGUUUAACCAUUUUGCAGAAAGCGGAAAUUUGAAAAACUACAACAUUUUCGAUUCUUGACACAACAGAUAUGAACGGGGAAUUGCUUCACAUAGAUAAAUCGAAUUUCUUCAAUGAUUCAUUCUACAUGGUUUCCAAUUUAAGCUUUUGAUCAUGAAAAGAUUUGAACUGUGAACAUGCUUUUUCUGCAGCCUGGUUUGUCUAAAUAAUCACCUACUUCAGAGUAUGGAGCCUUGAGUAUUUUCCUGGUGAUCUCUAGAAAAUUCAUCUAUUCAAUCUUUGUGUUAUUUUUCAAUGUAAUUCUUUAUUUGAUAACCGAAGAUCUGUUUAUCCGUUGUACUGCGAGCAGGGAAGUCUUGAUAUCUUGAACAUUUGAUUCAACGGACAAUAACGGGGAACGACAUCUGAUAGAUAAAUGAUUUUUCUUCAAUGAGUCCUUUAUUAAUUUAAUUUAUGGCCUGUGAUUGCAAGUUAUACAAAUUGAAUUUUGAACAUGUUUUUUUUGCAGCAUGGUCUGUCAAGCUAAUAACUUUCUUCGCAGCAUUGAGUCUAGCGUUUUUAUUUGGUGAUAUUUAUUAUAAUCAUUUUGUUUUCAAUAUUUCUUUAACUACUCAGAGUGAAUAUUUCUUGAUUCGUUACUCUUUGGUGUUGCAGGAGCAAUAAUUUGUGAACAUACAAUUUCUUAUUCUUUCUGGUUGAUUAUUAGGUAUCUUGACGUUUGCAGUUCUUAUUUUGAUGAAGUUUGUUUCGGUUCCAAUUGGUUGUUCUCUAAUUCCUCUGUUACAAUAAAUAUUAUUAUUCCUCUGUUACAACAGAUGUUGUUUUGUGUUUAAGGUAUUGCUAUUUGAGUAGUAGGUAACAGUAAUAUUUUGUGGAACUUGGAAACAUAGCUUGCGUUCUGAUAUGAAUUUUCUGUUUUGUAUGUUUCCAAUUGAGUCUCAGGAAAAGGUAAUGUUUUGUAAAACUUGAUACAUGAUAAUCAUCCCUGGUGGAAUUGUGAAUUAAAACCUGUUUUUUGCAAUGUAAUGUAUCUUAAAACAACCACAUUUUGUGUAUUAUUAAGUGUAUAGGUUUAUUUCUGUUUCGUGGUGACCUGAUCAAGCAUACAAAUUGUCUUCUCGAUUUAUUCCUUUAUGUGAAUAGUCUAGCCGUAAGUAUUCUUAUCCCUUCAUACUGCUGUUAUCUUACAUUUUAGGUUUUUGACAUGUAAUCUGACAAUGCAAAGUUCACACGUUUCUGGUAAAUUAAACUAUCUUCCUUCUUUUUGUUGGUUUCCUCUACAACUGUUUGUCAUGUCGUGGGUUUUCUGUACAUGAAUCAUCUGUUUUCACAGGCUAUGUUUUACAUUGGUUUGUUGUACAACAGAUGUCUCCGAUCACUCUGCACUUUGUUAAUUUUUCCGUCUGAAAUGGAGAAAUCGGUUUGUAUUAAUCACAUAUCUUCUGCAAACUAAUUAAAUUUUGAUAUACAUUUUCGACUGUCUGCUAGGAUUAAUUUUGCGAUAAGAACUUAGGUAGAAAUUUGUGAUGAUUAGUGCUUCUGUUCUCUGUACUAAUCUUGCAAGUGUCGGAGUUUUUGUGGUUCUGUACCAGCAGUGAGUAUGAAGCAUAUAAAAAUUGUGCACCUGUUUUUCUGCAGAGUGGUUUGUAGAAGUACUAUGUUCUUUCUUCAUAGCAUGAAGCCUUGAGUUUUGAUUUGGUCAUCUCUUCUAAAUUCUUCUGGUUUUCAAUAAUUCUCAAAUCUUUUGAAAGCAUACUUUUCUUGACUUUUUAUUUUCCCGUGUUGCAUGUAAGGUAAAUUAGGAAGAAGUGAUUCUUUCUGGUGUUAUCUCUCCCUUUUUUGUCUUCAUGUAUUGUAUGGUACUUUUCUGAUUUCUUGAUUCAAAGGUUUGAUUUGGUUCUGACUGUUUUUACAUGUAAAUUGAAAGAUGAUGCUAUUGUGUUCUGAAACCAUAACAUUCUGUUUAGUAUCAAGCCUCGUGUUUAUUUGGGAAUGCUCUACUUGGAUUGCGAACUUUGUUGGGUUCAUUUUUUUCCUUCCGAGUUUUAUUGAUGUACAAUUGUGAAGUUCUUACCAUCGACAUUUGGUUUUUGAUCUGAAUCUGACAGUGCAAAAGCUUACAUGAUUCUCGUGAAGUUGGGACAGCUUGCUGGGCUUCAUUAUUAUUCCGAUCUGUGACUUGGUUUGAAUAAUAAAGCUCCUAUUCUUUCUCUCUCAGUUCUUUUUCCUACAGACUAUUUGUCACAACAUAAUUUUUCUGUACAUUCUCAUCUGGUACAUUGGGUUUUAGAUAUGCGACAGUGCAAAAGUUUAUGAUUCUAGUGAAGUUGGGAUAGCUUGUUGGGGCCUCUCUUUGUUAUGCUGUUGAUCUUCAACUUGAUUAGAGGAAUCAGGCUACUUUUCUUUCUCUCUUAGUUCUUUUUGUUAUAACGUACUUCCCUUUCGUUUAUAAUAGUGUUGAAGUUUUUGUGUUUCUUUAUGGGUAACUUGAGUCUUACCCAGUGGUUUAGCAUACUACAUUCUGGAGCAACUCUUCCCUUCCUAGGAUGGACAUCUUGAUCAGGUGCUGUUUGUUUUGAUGGUAUGUUCGAUAGGGACUGAUGGACGUGGGAAAGAUAAUAUUCUUGUAUGUUUGUUGUCUACGUUUUUAUUUUUGACUUAUGAUGUAUACUCCCCCAACGAUAUCGUCUUCCUUACAGUGGUGCAAGGUGUCUAUUAUCAAAUGAAUGCUUCUUGAUUCCUUUGUAAAAGCUUAGGAUGAGGCUAUCAUAGACUUCCCCUUCCAUGUUUUGGAUAAAUCGGUCAUUUUUAAGUAAUACAUAUUUCUUCUAGUGUUGAGUUUGUGUUUUCUUCCAUCCGUGACUUGAGUCUUACUCUGCAGUUUACCAUUCAAAAUGCUGGAGAAACACUGGCCAAGGUGAGGAAUUUUGGACAAUUUGGUUAGGUAUUUUUGUCUUGGAUAGGGUAGGGGGUGAUGAUAUCCUUUUACUUUUUGUUACUGUUGUUAUUUCCGAUCUAUGAUGUGUAAUAAAAUAAUAUCCUCUGUUACAGUGCCCCAAACCUGUUACUUUGUCACAGUGAGGAAUCAUAAAUUUAUUUUGUUGCCUUUGGACUUCCAUCUGGAAAACCAGAACAGCCUCUAUUUCCCACGCCUGUUGGCAAAUUCAUCCAACCUAAUUCACUCGAUGUAAAGACAUGCACUAUUACCUCCUUUGGUGCUUCACUCUUCUUUUUUUAAACUCAAUUCAAUCUGUUCAAACUGUACCAUGGCUGGCCGUAAUAAUGUGGAAACUCUUCUGUCCUCUGCAUAUGGCUUUGGUUUUGUUUCUUAUCAUCCCUCACUACAAGAAAAAAAUCUGUCAUUACCCACGAACAAUUACUCGCGGCCGUAAGACCGUGGUUAAUUUUUUAGAGUAGUGAUGGAUUAC
rnacentral:lncRNA from 1 species